rnacentral:rRNA from 1 species
UACGGAGGGGGCAAGCGUUGUUCGGAAUUACUGGGCGUAAAGGGCGCGCAGGCGGCUGCUUAAGUCAGGCGUGAAAGGCCUGGGCUCAACCCGGGAAUUGCGCUUGAGACUGGGCUGGCUUGAGUGCGGGAGAGGAUGGUGGAAUUCCCAGUGUAGAGGUGAAAUUCGUAGAUAUCUGGAGGAACACCGGUGGCGAAGGCGGCGUUCUGGACUGCUACUGACACUGAGGAACGAAAGCCAGGGGAGCAAACGGG